rnacentral:rRNA from 1 species
AUUGAACGCUGGCGGCAUGCCUUACACAUGCAAGUCGAACGGUAACGCGGGGCAACCUGGCGACGAGUGGCGAACGGGUGAGUAAUGUAUCGGAACGUGCCCAGUUGUGGGGGAUAACUGCUCGAAAGAGCAGCUAAUACCGCAUACGACCUGAGGGUGAAAGCGGGGGAUCGCAAGGCCUCGCGCAAUUGGAGCGGCCGAUAUCAGAUUAGGUAGUUGGUGGGGUAACGGCUCACCAAGCCAACGAUCUGUAGCUGGUCUGAGAGGACGACCAGCCACACUGGGACUGAGACACGGCCCAGACUCCUACGGGAGGCAGCAGUGGGGAAUUUUGGACAAUGGACGCAAGUCUGAUCCAGCCAUGCCGCGUGCGGGAAGAAGGCCUUCGGGUUGUAAACCGCUUUUGUCAGGGAAGAAACGCUCUGGGUUAAUACCUCGGGGUAAUGACGGUACCUGAAGAAUAAGCACCGGCUAACUACGUGCCAGCCGCCGCCGUAACAC